CCAAACCAACAGUCCAUUCUAGAACACAGAGGCUAUGACAUUCCAAACCAACAGUCCAUUCUAGAGCACAGAGGCUAUGACAUUCCAAACCAACAGUCUAUUCUAGAACACAGAGGCUGACACUACAAACCAACAGUCUAUUCUAGAACACAGAGGCUAUGACACUCCAAACCAACAGUCCAUUCUAGAACACAAACCAACAGUCCAUUCUAGAACACAGAGGCUAUGACAUUCCAAACCAACAGUCUAUUCUAGAACACAGAGGCUAUGAUACUCCAAACCAACAGUCCAUUCUAGAACACAAACCAACAGUCCAUUCUAGAACACAGAGGCUAGGACAUUCCAAACCAACAGUCUAUUCUAGAACACAGAGGCUAUGACAUCCUCCAAGCCAACAGUCCAUUCUAGAGCACAGAGGCUAUGACAUUCCAAACCAACAGUCCAUUCUAGAACACAGAGGCUAUGCCAUUCCAAACCAGCAGUCCAUUCUAGAGCACAGAGGCUAGGACAUUCCAAACCAACAGUCCAUUCUAGAACACAGAGGCUAUGACAUUCCAAACCAACAGUCCAUUCAAGAACACAAACCAACAGUCCAUUCGAGAACACAGAGGCUGUGACAUUCCAAACCAGCAGUCCAUUCUAGAGCACAGAGGCUAUGACAUUCCAAACCAACAGUCCAUUCAAGAACACAAACCAACAGUCCAUUCGAGAACACAGAGGCAAUGACAUUCCAAACCAACAGUCUAUUCUAGAACACAGAGGCUAUGACAUCCUCCAAGCCAACAGUCCAUUCUAGAACACAGAGGCUAUGACAUUCCAAACCAACAGUCUAUUCUAGAACACAGAGGCUAUGACACUCCAAACCAACAGUCCAUUCUAGAACACAAACCAACAGUCCAUUCUAGAACACAGAGGCUAUGACAUUCCAA
ensembl:lncRNA